rnacentral:rRNA from 1 species
GACGAACUGUGCGAACGUUGUUCGGAAUCACUGGGCUUAAAGGGUGCGUAGGCGGCUUGUUAAGUCGGGGGUGAAAUACUUCGGCUCAACCGGAGAAUUGCCUUCGAUACUGGCGAGCUGGAGGAAGGUAGGGGUCGCGGGAACUGCCAGUGGAGCGGUGAAAUUCGUAGAUAUCGGGAGGAACACCAGUGGCGAAGGCGGCGAUCUGGGAAGAUACUGACGCUGAGGUGCGAAAGCGUGGGGAGCAAACAGG